rnacentral:lncRNA from 1 species
UUUCGUAAAAAUUAGCACCGCAGCAUAGAUUUUAAGUUACUGCAUUUGCUAGAUACACCGCGACUGCUGAAGGAAUUUCUACGAACGCGAUCUCCACAAGGUUAUAACAGCUUGAGCGAUAGAAAUAAAAGAAAAAAGUACGCCAUGCCGCUCAUUCGAAGGAUUGAAGCGAUUGAGGUGAGACAGCCGUGUAAAAUUUUUAAUGGCAUUGUCCAGACACCGGCGCAGAUGGGAGCUGUUUUGAAGUAAUUAACCCUGUUAACCCAAGGCGCUGAGGUUCGCACGGACAGCGCUCUAAGCUCACGCACCGCGCAUAUGCACGUAUAUAUAUAUAGAUACUCACACAACUACAAGUAAAAACUUUUCCUCAAGGAUCAACAUCCUUAGGAAUUCACACUAAUUGCGAAAAAAUUACAUCUACAAUACAAGAUUAAUGAAUGGAAAACCCGAUAGUGGCGUGGAAAGACGAAUUUUUUAAUCACGUGUUACAUUGAAAUUCGAUUAAUCGAUCGAUUAUCUCAUUCAGGCAAUUGAUUACGUAGCCAUAGUAUGGCUUUGAUGAUAAUUGAAUAAAUCCGUUGAUAAAUUUAAAUUAACACAUGACACCCACAUGGAUCGUUUUACUGAGGACCACAACUUUUCGUAAUAAUCAUGGAAGAGACCUAUCCCAACGAUAGAAAUUUAAAAAAGCGAAGCAAGAAGAAAUUCUGUUUUAAAAUGAAAGAAAAGAGAAGAAUGUAAACAGAUCACGAACCGAGUUGUUGACCAGGUACACGAAGAGGGAGGUAGACUUCAGCUGUUGAGGGCUAUGACACGAACAACGUAUUCUUCGAUCAAGUCGAUCCUCGACCACCAUAGACACACAGUCUGCCUGCACGAUAGAACGCCUGACCCGUCACUGACCAGUCUCCUGUCCAGUCUGGUCAAAACCCUAUACCCAUGAGUGAAAUCAAUCCAAUCCGUACAUUACCCUUUCCCUUCCUCCACCCUUUGUUAACUAUGUAUUUAAACCGCCCCUGGACGAUCAGCUUCACUGCACACAUUCACAGAACGUACCGUCUUUCGUUCAACUAUCGCGGUUGAUAGCUUUUAUUUCGAGGACGUCCGUGGAAUUGAAUCCUUUCCACUUCAUUAUUUUGGCCAAAUAUACAUAACUCGUGAAUUAUAUAAUUUCAAGUUAAAUAAUUAAAAUUUUAUAUUCGAAUCAUCAAUGAGAUUCGUCAAAAGGUUUAGAACGUAAUAACUAUAUAUGCUUACCAGAGAUUGAAGCACGUGUUAUCUUUCAUAUACUCUUGCAAAGCAUGCUGAAGAACAUGUGAAUUAGUAUACAAGCUAUAAACCCACUUAAAGCUCAGGUUCUUCUUCGGUAACUUACAAAAACAAAAGGAACGUGGAUCUUGCGUAGACUGACGUCACGCGUAAAAAUACUGAUCCUUCACUCUAAACAAUCUGAUUCACAUACAUCUAAUCGUCCUGUCAUUAUAAUACCAGAAGAAGAAUUAUAUUCACACGCAUCACCGAACAACUGUAAACCUGCACAAGAUCUUUGACUCAUUUAAUCCUCCAACUUUUCUUCUAUGAAUGAUCGAGAAACACGCAUAGACAGCACGUGUGAAAAAUCUAUAGCCGGUUGGAAAAUCCAUUACGUAGUAAUGAAGAUAACGCGAAGUCCUUACUAUCGAAUGAACGGCGCGACGUAAACGUAAGAAGGAAAAAGAAACCGGAAACAAAGGAAAGAACGAGGAUAAAUGU